rnacentral:rRNA from 1 species
CUUGUCGAACCUGAUAGUACAGCAAAGCUUCGGCAGCGCUGAUAGUGACCCUAAUCAAACCUCCGAGAAAAACCUCUAAGGCAUGUUAAAAGCAGCCCGUACCGCAGACCGACACAGGUGGGUGGGAUGAAUAUUCUAAGGCGCUCGGGUGAGCCGUGGAGAAGGAACUAGGCAAAUUGACGCUGUAACUUCGGGAUAAAGCGUACCGAUUUCGGUCGGUCACAGUAAAAUGGUUCAACCAACUGUUUAGCAAAAACACAGGGCCCUGCAAAAUCGAAAGAUGACGUAUAGAGCCUGAUACCUGCCCGUUGCUGGAAGGUUAAGGAAGGAUGUUCGGCGCAAGCCAAAGCUUCUGACUGAAGCCCCAGUAAACGGCGGCCGUAACAAUAACGGUCCUAAGGUAGCGAAAUUCCUUCGGGUAAGUUCCGACCUGCACGAAUGGUCUAAUGAGUUGAACACUGUCUCCUCCACGAGCCCGGUGAAAUUGUAGUAUCGGUGAAGAUGCCGGUUACCCGUCACGGGACGGAAAGACCCCAUGAACCUUCACUACAACUUUGCAUUGAUUUUGAAUUUUUGAUGUGUAGGAUAGUUGGGAUACUUUGAAGUGGUGUCGCCAGGCAUCAUGGAGUCAACGUUGAAAUACCAACCUUUAAACAUUUAGAAUCUAAUCCCUAACGGGAAACAGUGCAUGGUGGGUAGUUUGACUGGGGUGGUCGCCUCCUAAAGUGUAACGGAGGCUUGCAAAGGUUCCCUCAGUACGGUUGGUAAUCGUACAUAGAGCGUAUUAGUAUAAGGGAGCUUGACUGUGAGACUUACAAGUCGAGCAGGGACGAAAGUCGGCUAAAGUGAUCCGGCGGUUCUGUAUGGAAGGGCCGUCGCUCAAAGGAUAAAAGGUACUCUGGAUAACAGGCUGAUCUCCCCCAAGAGCUCAUAUCGACGGGGAGGUUUGGCACCUCGAUGUCGGUUCGUCACAUCCUGGGGCUGGAGAAGGUCCCAAGGGUUCGGCUGUUCGCCGAUUAAAGUGGCGCGUGAACUGGGUUCAGAACGUCGCAAGACAGUUCGGUCCCUAUCUGUGAUGGGCGCUAGUAAAUUGAGAGGACAUGACUUUAGUACGAGAGGACCGAGUCGUAUGUACCGCUGGUGUAUCUGUUGUGCCGCCAGGUGCAGUGCAGAGUAGCUAUGUACAGCCAGGAUAAACGCUGAAAGCAUCUAAGCGUGAAACCUUCCUCAAGAUGAGUUUACUUUUAAGGGUCGUCAAAGACUAUGACGUUGAUAGGCUAUAGGUAUAAAGGUGGUAACAUCAAAGCCGAGUAGUACUAAUUGCCCGUAAGCUUUAUUG